rnacentral:misc_RNA from 1 species
CUAAGCCAAAUAUCCACCAUCUCCAGUGAUUUAGUCCAAAAGUGACCGUCCUUGUGGCCUAAAACGAAAAUAUACCCUUCCGCAGGCUGUAAACAGAAAGCCAUAAACUUACAUGGCUCCCUCCCGUGGGAUGUAUAUCUAUGGACACCCAUAAACUCAAAAUUAUAGAAGAUCCAUUUACAUUCGAGUAUCAAUGACAAAUUAAUUAACAAACCUAGACCAUUGCCUACAAUACUCAUCCUCGAGGAGCUGACUUACAUGGUCCUAUUUCACAAAAG